CAGUAGCCGCGGGAAUACAGAGGAUGCAAGCGUUAUUCGGAAUGAUUGGGCGUAAAGGGUGCGUAGGCGGUUUGAUAAGUCUUGUGUGAAAUCUAUGGGCUCAACCCAUAGUCUGCGUAGGAAACUGUCGGGCUUGAGAGUGGGAGAGGUGAGUGGAAUUUCCGGUGUAGCGGUGAAAUGCGUAGAUAUCGGAAGGAACACCUGUGGCGAAAGCGGCUCACUGGACCAUUUCUGACGCUGAUGCACGAAAGCUAGGGGAGCAAACAGGAUUAGAUACCCGGGUAGUCCCUGUCUCUUAUAC
rnacentral:rRNA from 1 species